CUGGAUUUGUGUUUUUGUUUGUUCAGGUUCUUACAUGGUCAACUGGUCACCGAACCUUCAGACAGCAGUCUCCGACUUGAACUUCUAAGUUCUACCUAUCCAUCUAGAACCUUUUUGUUGGGUGCAAAUACUUUGUGGUGGAUUCAAAUUGACAUUUGUUUCCUUUUCUUUUUCAGGAGGUUGAAUAUUCUGAGGAGCCUGGUUCUUUGUUCUACAUCAAAUAUCGUGUUGCUGGUGGUUCAAGGAAUGAUUUUUUGACAAUAGCAACAACACGUCCUGAGACGCUAUUUGGUGAUGUAGCCAUUGCAGUG